rnacentral:lncRNA from 1 species
GUGCCAGACAAGAAUGGCCUGCUAGGAGACCCAGCCAGCUCCCAGGGCCUUUCUGCUGCUUCCUCUACCCCUGUAUUUCACUCAGCUCUCCGAAUUGACUCAGCUCCAGGUUGCCACCAGAAGCCCCAUCCAGACACCAUGGAGAAGACGGAGCAUCAUAUGCAGACCCUGAACUUUGUGCUGCUGUUGCUGCUGCUGCAGCUGCAUUGACCUCAUGAGUUUUGGGGUUGCCUGUCCGGGUCUUGGGUUUGCCUCCCUGGGGAAAGUGUAAGUGUGUUCUGUGUAAGAGAGGAAGAACAGAUCAUUUGUGACCAGAAGGAAAGACUGUGGAGGACACUGGUUAGCUAGUCUCCAAAAACCACUUCCUUUUUCUCCCAGGCCCACUGCUACACUAUGCUUCCCAGGCUUCUUUACAGCUGCCAUAAUAUGUGUCUCUGCUCUGACCAAUGAAAUGUGGGCACCAGGCCUGGUACAUUAAGCCUCUGACUCAUGACCUUCUGUGCCCUCUCUUCCAAUGGCUACACUGGAGAUGACUAGGACAAUCUUAGGAGUCAGUGUGAAGAUGGUUGAUCCAAAGAUGGAGAAAUCUGGGUCCCUGAAAACCUGAGUCCCUGAGGGUGGAGAAAGGCCACCCUCUAGAAGCAACUGCAUUUGACUACUAACUGAGCAAAAAAUAAAUCAGCUUUAACCAUAUUAAACCCCUGAGAUUUGGGAGUUUAUUGCUAGGUUACCCUAAUCUAUAUACAAGCAGAAUGAAAAGCACGGGCAAAGACAGGAAGAUUGGAAUUCAUGACAUAGCCUGACGAGAGUGAGGACUUCUCUAGACAUGAGGGACAGAGUGACAGAAGAUGAGCUUGAAGGAUUCCUUUGGGAAAAUUCCUGCAGGUCUUGAAUGCCAUGCAAAGAUUUGGACUUUAUUCUACAGAAAAUGGGGACCACUUAAAAAAAGUGUUUUUUCUUCUAUUUAAAACUGCUAUAGUAAAUGCUGCCAGUAAUCUGCUCUUCUAAAGUAACUAAAAAUCCAAACUUUCACAUAUUAUUGCCCCCCCAAAAUUGAAAAUGUGAAAAAUGUAAUCACCAGGCUGACAACAGCUUUUGCAGUCUGUUAAAGCUGCAACUCGUAUCAAAUGAGUCCUGCCAAAUUCAUUGAGAAAUCAGUAACUAUCAGAGAAAAACUCCCAACAUGUAAUAUCUGCCUCUUCAUGAAACUGUGUGUGUGUGUGUGUGUGUGUGUGUGUGUGUGUGCAUGUGUAUAUCAGAGAGAUAUAUAUUUUUUCAGGUAAUAAAUGGUAUUCAUGCAACAAAACAAAAUCUGAAAUGGGGCUUCAAUUAAGGCCACAUUUACCAAACUUGUUCUGUGUGACAGGUGUUCUGAUAGGUGCCUAUGAUAGAAAAAUAAAUGAUCAACCAGGACUUCAAAUCACUCCCAGAUUAAUGCAAGAGGUAGGCACAUAAACAGGUUAACCAUAAGGGCACAUGCUACUAUAAAAAUAGGACUCACUAGAUCUAUGGAGGUUAGGAGAGAAUCCAAGAUGACUGAACUUUCUUAACCUGAUCCUGAAGAUCAUUCUUGAUCGGAUCCAACCUACCUUUGCAGGCUGAAAUUCCAUUACUUUUCUUCACACGAUUUCUUGCUCUUAGACCUAUCCUGCACUUUUGCACUUCCAUGCUUUGUCCUCUGCCUCGAAUUCUCUCCCUGACCUAUCACUAACCCCUGUUUACAGUGCCACUAAGAUUCCACUCAGGAAAUCUUCCCUGGUUCCAGUGGGAUGUAUCUUUUCCCUUCUUUAGAGUCUCUUCUUUUCUCUGUGUCCUGAGGAAGUUACCACUUUCUGCUUUGCAUCAUAGUUAUUUUCUGACUUGCUGGUCUUGUCUGAUCUCUACACUAAACCAUAAGCUCCCUGAAGACCAGGAGUGUUUCUAUUCCUUUCUUAUACUUCUGGUAUCAAGUAUAGCAAUUUGUAGGUACAUGGUGGAUGUUCAGUAAGUAUUUUCUGAAUGUCGGAAUGUAAAACUCAAAAGCCACUGGAGACACUGAAUCUACACACAACACUGCAACCCUCUCCUUGGCCAAGAGCUUCAUUGUUGGGUGAUAUAUGAUGUUUUCCUGGGAAAGGAAGGAGGGCAAUUUUGUAAGAGAAUUAAGUGAGGGUGCACAAGGAAAGUAAAAAUAGUGCUACAUUCCUGGUUCCAAAUAGUGUGUAGUUGUAUAACAAAAAUUAAAACUGUCCAAUAAGCCAAUAUCUUAGCUUAUUGAUUAAAAGAGAUUGAAAGCUCCAAAUCUUCUUUAUUGCAAAACAAUCUUUUAUAAAAGAAUCUCUAUUAACAUCAUGUCAGCAUUCUCUUACAAAAUCCAGCAAGGGGAAAAUGGGGAGUUGCCUCCCUUUCUAAUAUCAACACCAUUAAUAAACAGUAUUAACAUUCGGGCAGCUGAAUGGGGAAGAAAUAUUGACUAUCUGUAAUGUUCCCACAUUGGUGCUUUAAGAGUUCUGGAAGCUAAAACAUAGACAAAUCAGCAUUACUCAGUAGAGAAGGGCCAAAGCCAAAAGUAGAAAAGAUCAAUGUUUAUAAAAUAUUGAAGUAAACCAAAUUUGUUUACUAAGAUCUGGAAUAUAAUAAAGAAGGAGAAAUACAUUUGACAUUUAAAUGAGGACAAAUUUAGGGAAAAUAAAAAUACGUACAAAUUUUGUCUCAUUUGGGUAAACUUUAGGUUUUAGUUAACUAAGACAAGAGCAAACCAGAAUGAAAAGAUAAAUAAAUCCAUAAUGUCUCCAUAAAAAUUUAUUGAAAGUAGACUUUUGGGGGAGUGAUCCUGAAUCAGUUAGGUUCUAGGGCCUAGAGGCCACUGCAAUUAUUACAAGACCUGGAAAUACAUACUCACAUCGAGCCUUGUCUAUGGAUUGUACACAUGAUAUGCCUAACUCAUAUGUUCUACCAGUUGACAUGAACACAUAGAUACUUUACUGAUGAGUAACAGAAUGUCAGCAGGUUAGGGAAGCCAGGCAGGCUAAUCUCCCAGGGACACACUCUGUGGUAGAAGCUGUCAGAGGGAGGGAGGGGCCUUACUUUCUGGGGGGGCACAUAAUCAAUGACAGGGGUCACGGUAGGAGCAUGGGCUUUGAAAGGCCCUGAGUAGAAGAGAGAGGGGUAGAGCCAGUAAGACAGCCUAAGGCUGUAUGGAAAGCAAUGGAACCUCUCAGGGCUUCAGGAAAAUUUCCACAAUCAUAAAAUUCUGUAUAUGGUUAAAUUUUUUGUGGAAAAUGGUUAAAAGGCUGAGCUUCUGGAUUUGACACAGGGCUCCUCCCAGACAGAAAAAAAAAAGUGGGAAUAAAGCAAAAUAUAAGGAAUUAGAGGGGGAAACUCAAAGAAAAACUAACAGCACUUUGCAUGCUACAGCAUUAUAAGGCUCUGGAAAUGGAGUUCCAGCCAAAUUUCACCUGAGGUGAAUGGGGACCUUGAGUAAUACUUUAGUUUCUCUGUUGUUGUUGCUUUUGUUUUUGAGACAGGGUCUCCCUCUGUCACCAAGGCUGGAGUGCAGUGAUGUAAUCUCAGUUCACUGCAGCCUCAACCUCCCAGGGUCAAGCAAUCCUCCAGCCUCUCAGCCUCUCAAGUAGAUAAGACUACUGGCAUGUGUCACAACUGGCUAAUUUUUGUAUUUUUUGUAGAGAUGGGGUCUCACUAUAUUGCCUAGGCUGGUGUCAAACUCCUGGACCCAAGGGGUCCACCCACCUCGGCCUCCCAAAGUGCUGGGAUUAUAGGUGUGAGCUACCAAGCCCAGCUGUUGUUUAAGAGACAUGAUCUCACUCUGUGGAGAUCCUUCUGCCUCAGCCUCUUGAGUCGCUGGGACUACAGACGCAUGCCACCACACCUGGCUAAUUAUUUUUUUAAUUUUUGUAGAGAUAGGGUCUUGCUAUGUUGCCCAGGCUGGUCUUAAGCUCCUGGCCUCAAGCAAUCCUCCCACCUCAGCCCACCUAGUGGCUGGGAUUACAGGCAUGAACCACAGCACUCAGCCUUAGUUUCUUAAAUAAAUUCACUUUAAAAUGUUCCUGAAAUCUUGGAAGCUUUUUUCCACUAUUUGUUUUCAGUUGAUGGAAUAAUUUUUCAGUUGAUUCCAUUUCAGUUGAUGGAAUAAUUUUUAAUGGUUUACAUUUUAAAACAUUUUCAUAUUAUAAGCAUUAAGAACCAGCCGGGCACACUGACUCACACCUGUAAUCCCAGCACUUUGGGAAGCCAAGGCGGGUGGAUCACCUGAGGUCAGGAGUUUGAGAUCAGCCUGGCCAACAUAGCAAAUCCCCUUCUCUACUAAAAAUACAAAAAAUUAGCUGGGUGUGGUGGCAGGUGCCUGUAAUCCCAGCUACUUGGGAGGGUGAGACAGGAGAAUUGCUUGAGCCUGGGAGGCAGAGGUUGCAUUGAGCCAAGAUCACGCCAUUGCACUCCAGCCUGGGUGACAGAGCGAGAAUCUGAAAAAAAAAAAAAAAGUUAAGAGCCAUUAUUUUGAGAGUAUUAGCAUAUUAUGGUUGAUGUCAAGAAUACAAAAUUGUUAGCCUCAUCAGGGAAGGCUGAGCUGAGUCCCCUGCAGGCCAUGGUCUUUAAGGAGAGCAUCCAUCUACUACAUCCCGACCCCACGUGCUAUUGAGUGAAUAGAAUGCUGACAACAAGGAAGGCCCAGAAUGGGUGUAAAUGGUCACACCUUUCAUCAAAAUUAAUGCUUUCCUUUCCUUGCUGUACCUAAUUUAAUCCCCAAAC